rnacentral:rRNA from 1 species
GACAGAGGGUGCAAACGUUGUUCGGAAUUACUGGGCGUAAAGCGUGUGUAGGUGGCCUCAUAAGUCGGAUGUGAAAGCCCCGGGCUCAACCCGGGAAGUGCACUCGAUACUGCGAGGCUUGAGUACUGGAGAGGUUGGUGGAAUUCUCGGUGUAGAGGUGAAAUUCGUAGAUAUCGGGAAGAACACCGGUGGCGAAGGCGGCCAACUGGACAGAUACUGACACUGAGACACGAAAGCGUGGGUAGCAAACAGG